UACAGAGGAUGCAAGCGUUAUCCGGAAUGAUUGGGCGUAAAGCGUCUGUAGGUGGCUUUUUAAGUCCGCCGUCAAAUCCCAGGGCUCAACUCUGGACAGGCGGUGGAAACUACCAAGCUGGAGUGCGGUAGGGGAGAUCGGAAUUCCUGGUGUAGCGGUGAAAUGCGCAGAUAUCAGGAGGAACACCGGUGGCGAAGGCGGAUCUCUGGGCCGUAACUGACGCUGAGGAGCGAAAGCAUGGGGAGCGAACAGG
rnacentral:rRNA from 1 species